GCGUUGGUGGUAUAGAGGUGGGUAUAGCAGCCUUUCAAGCAGUUGACCCAGGUUACAUUCCUGGCUAAUGCA
rnacentral:tRNA from 1 species